CGGGAUCUUCCUGCUUCAGCCUCCAAAGUAGCUGGGACUACAGGCCCAUGCCACCAUGCCAGGCUGUAAAGCCUAAUUAAUUAUAUUAUUCUCCAGGAAUGCUCAUUUUUGAAGAACUAGCAAUGGUUGACCAUGUCUGUGGCUACUGCCCCAAAGUUUUCUACAUUCCUUCAACAUCCACUUGUAGGAAAAGUUUUAGGCAGGACUGAGGGUGGGUGAGAUGACACUCUGAUGUGUCCCCUGCUGGUCUUGGCUGGGCAGGCUUCCAGGCACACUCUGAAUGAGGCAGCACCCCUUAGCUUUCAAGGAGGACUGUCUUGUGAAGGAGUACUCAGAGUAUCUUAAGUCUCUGACAACCAAUCAUUCAUUCAUUCUGCAGUUGUAGAGAACUUCUUUCGUUUGCACUAUGUUUUAGGACCUGGGCCUUGCUUAAGCUUCUCUUUCUUCCUAUCUUCCAGCUUUGCCCAGUCAACUUUAUUCCCCCAGGCCUGCCCUCCCUAAUGAGGUCAGUUCCACCAGGCUGUGCCCUGAUGGCAUCAUAAACCUGUCAAAUGUGAUUCCUAAGUUAAUGCCCUUCUCCCCACUGCUUGUAAACUCCAUGAGGGCAGGGAUCAUGUUAUUUUUAACUCCAAGUCACUUAAAAAUAAUUUGCUAAAAUACAGUUUUCUAAAUAACACUUUGCCACAUUUAGCGAGGUACCAGUUUAACAAAGUAGACUAUUUUUCUGUUUAUAAGUUAAACACCAAACUCUAUUGGAUAGAAUGUUUUAACAGCUUUUGACGAUUUCUGUGAAGGUUUAGUUGAUUGGUUUUAAUUUUGCCUUCAUAAUAUCAUUUUAAAGAGGUUCAUUUGUUAAUAGCUAAGAGUGAUAAAAUGGUUUAGCCUUUUAGAGUAUAUAUUUAAUUGUUCAGGAAAGGGUAUUUAGAAAUCAGUAAUCAAAACUUUAUUCAAGAUUAGUAUCCCAAUUCUGAUAUUUAUUUCCCUAAGCAUGAAAUUACUAAAGAAGGAUUCAGAGCAACCAAAUCAAUGUGAAUUACAGAGAUUUAGGGUAUUAAUUAUUAGUAAUAUAAAAUCAAGGCUGAUCUGCCAUUUGAGGUAUUGGUAAAAAAUAUAACAGUGCUGGAAGAGAAAUUGUAAAUUACAUUUAGAAAGAUAGGGAAAAACUCUAAGUCAAUUGAAACAAUCUCAUUCCAUGUGUCAUGCUGAAAUUUAAAAUUUUAAUUGCUACAGGCUAAAAUUAAGUCCACCAGCCACUGAACAAUUACAGAAAGAAUAUUAAUCAUUGUUAUAAUUUGAAAAAAUUAGAAAACCACAGAAACUAGAAGUAGAAGCUGAAGAUGAAAUGCUCAGUUUUUAUUUUCUAACAAGGAGAAAUUGAGAUAUUUUUACCUGGUUUUAAUGCACCAAAAGAUUUGAAAUGAAAGGGCACAUAUGUUUAAAAUGCAUAAAAGAAGUGAGGAGAAUCAGAGGAAUUGGCAUAAUGAAAUGAAUGAUAAAACCUCAAAUUUGAUUUAUAUAUUACCAUAACUCUAAACUUGCAAAAACCAAAAAAAGAUUUUAAAAGAUUGGUUUAAAAUCCCAAAAAUGCUAAAAGAUAUGCAAAAUGAGAAAGAACUAGGAAACAAUGAAGCAAUAAUAUCAUAUACUAAGGCCACUAUCACUCUCAGAAAUUAAAAUUAAAAAUUUUUAAAUAUUAAUUAAAAUUAACAGAAAAUAAUCGUGUAAGUGCUAAGUAGUUGACAAACCUGUAAAUAACUUUAAAAAGAAAUCUAUUUAAGGCUGAAUAUUUCUACAGAAAAUAAUUAUAAUUUUGCAUGAAAACAUUAAAUAUUUUAUGACUAUAAAAUAUAUUCAACUCAUAGGAGUAGAGAGUAAAAUGGUGGUUAUCAGAGCCCGGAGGAGCGAGGUGGAUAGGAAAAGGGGAGACGUUGAUCACAGGGUACAAAGUUUCAGCGAGCUAGGAAGAAUAAGCUUCAGUGAUCUAAUUACACAGAACUGUGGCUAUAGUUAAUAAUAAUGAAUUGUAUCUUUCACAAUUGCUUAAAGAUUGGACUUUAAAAGUUAUCAGCACAAAAAUGAUAAGUAUGUGAGGUGAUGGGUAUGUUAAUUAGCUUGAUUUAAUCAUUCCACAAUGCAAACAUAUAGCAAAAUAUCACAUUAUACCACUUAAAAACAUGUAUAUUAUCUGUCAAUUAAAUAUAUAAUAAAAUUUAUUCAUAAGAAGAGUAAAUUAUUCUUAGUUUUGACAAAAAUAACUAUUCCUUAAAAUGCUGCUAUAAAAAGCAAAUAACAACUGGUCAACUAAAACAAUCCUAUACAAAUUGUUGCAAAUUUUAGAAAUAGUUAAAAGAAACAUGUUUUUGGUAAAUCAUCGCAUUUGGUAACUUUGGCAAAUUAGUGAUUCAGUAAAUUGAUCACUUAUUGAUUUUGUGUGUUGAUUUUUGGCCAACUUGUCAAGUUCUUUUAUUUAGGAUAGGGUUUGUAUCUCCAAAGUCUGCUGCAGUGCUUGGUACAGUAGGUACUCCAUAAAUAGUUGACAAAUGAAUGAAUGAAUGGUUUUGAGUGAGGCGAAUAUUGGUGGUUAAAUAUAACCACCAAUGCUCCUGGCUUCAUAGAGCUUACAUUCUAGUGUAGAGUGAGUUAUAGUCCAACCAUAUUUCUGUUAUUGGUUAUGUAACUACAGUGCAACUUCUAUAUGUUCACUUAUUCUUGGAUUCAUAGGAACAGGUUAACUUUACUGUUAUACCAUAUUUGGGAACUAUUUGAAUGAAACUAUAACUCCAUUCCAUAAAGAGACGAAAACACCUUUUCAAAUAGGCCAGAGUGAGACAAUAUUCCACAGGGUUGUUUGAGGGUAAAAUUUCUAAUAAAAUGUUUAAAAUCCUAAAGGUAAGUUCUUGCAUACGUGACAUUUGCACAGCAAUUCAUUCUGAAAUGAUUGCCAAGCUGACUUGAGUGAGAAAAGCAAGCAGAGGAAGGAAGUGCCUGGCCAGGCCUAUCUACCUCUGUGAAUCAGAGGAAGUGCUCAGGCAAGCAUCAUGAAAAAGUCAUGGCGGGACUUUUUCUUUUAUUUUCUUCUACCCCUUCAGCUCACCUCCUUGUCUAUGAUCAGAAAUGAAAGGAAAUGAGGUAAAGGGUGAUGCUGGCAUGCCUAGCUCUGGAAGUGGUGAAGCCUGGAUUUAUACAGCACUCUCUGCAAGUACCACAUACACCAAUAAAAAGAGAGUUCUUCAGGAAAUGAGGUGUGACGCAGGCCAGCUUCGCCAAGACUCUUGGACCAAGAAAUAAGGAUUUAAAUAUGAAAUACUAAAAUUUAACACAUGACUGAAACAAAAUAAAUGGUGUACUACUGAAAGCAUUUGAGCUUUAACAUUUGCAUCGGGCGA
rnacentral:lncRNA from 10 species